rnacentral:rRNA from 1 species
UAAUACGUAGGGGGCGAGCGUUAUCCGGAAUUAUUGGGCGUAAAGAGUGCGUAGGUGGCCAUGUAAGCGCGGGGUGAAAGGCAAUAGCUUAACUAUUGUAAGCCUUGCGAACUGUGUGGCUUGAGUGCAGGAGAGGAAAGUGGAAUUCCUAGUGUAGCGGUGAAAUGCGUAGAUAUUAGGAGGAACACCAGUGGCGAAGGCGACUUUCUGGACUGUAACUGACACUGAGGCACGAAAGCGUGGGGAGCAAACAGG